UGCACAGUUACUGGAUCAAGUGGAUCCGA
rnacentral:sRNA from 1 species